AGAGAGAGACAUGCGCGCAUAUCAAUAAGCGGAGGAAAAGAAACUAACAAGGAUUCCCUUAGUAACGGCGAGUGAAGCGGGAAGAGCUCAAAUUUGAAAUCUUCAAGGUUUUACCUUGACGAAUUGUAGUUUAAAGAAGUGUUUUCUGCUGAAGUUUUGGUAAAAGUUCUUUGGAAUAGGACAUCAUAGAGGGUGAGAAUCCCGUAUUUGACCAUUAUUUUCAGCUUUGUGAUUACACUUUCAAAGAGUCGGAUUGUUUGGGAAUGCAGUCCAAAAUGGGUGGUAAAUUUCAUCUAAAGCUAAAUAUUGGCGAGAGACCGAUAGCGAACAAGUACCGUGAGGGAAAGAUGAAAAGAACUUUGAAAAGAGAGUUAAACAGUACGUGAAAUUGUCAAAAGGGAAGCGUUUGACACCAGUGUUGUUUUCUCGAAAAUCAAUUAAAAAUGGCUCGAUUUUGUAUUGCUUGAGACCUUAAAAGCUCACUGUACAUUUUUCGUGUCUUUUUUAAUGCACUUUUCGUUUAACAAGUCAACAUCAGUUUCUUUUGUUGUAAAAGGGUCAUUGGAAGGUGGCUUUCUUUUCGGAGAAAGUGUUUAUAGCCUUGGCCUCUGCAAUCGGAGAGACUGAGGUCUGCAGCGUAGACUCUUCGGGGUUAGAUACAUUUGUGCUAAGUUAUAGCUUUUUAUAGACAACUUGUUGACUAUAAUUAGUCUUGUAGCUUACUCGCUUAUGCUAUUUUACCUACGCUUAGGAUGUUGAAGAUGUAGCACAUCAU
rnacentral:rRNA from 1 species